rnacentral:rRNA from 1 species
AAGGCGAAACCGCGAAUGGCUCAUUAAAUCAGUUAUGGUUCCUUGGAUCGUACCUUACUACUUGGAUAACUGUGGCAAUUCUAGAGCUAAUACAUGCAGCAGAGCUCCGACCUUCGGGGACGAGCGCUUUUAUUAGACCAAAACCAAUCGGGCCUCGUGUCCGUGAAAUGUGGUGACUCUGUAUAACUUUGGGCUGAUCGCACGGGCUCGUCCCGGCGACGUAUCUUUCAAGUGUCGCCUUAUCAACUGUCGAUGGUAGGUUACGCGCCUACCAUGGUCGUAACGGGUGACGGGGAAUCAGGGUUCGAUUCCGGAGAGGGCGCCUGAGAAACGGCGACCACAUCCAAGGAAGGCAGCAGGCGCGCAAAUUACCCACUCCCGGCACGGGGAGGUAGUGACGAAAAAUAACAAUACGGGACUCUUUUGAGACCCCGUAAUUGGAAUGAGUACACUCUAAAGCCUUUAACGAUUAGCAACUAGAGGGCAAGUCUGGUGCCAGCCGCUGCGGUAAUUCCAGCUCUAGUAGUGUAUAUUAAAGUUGUUGCGGUUAAAAAGCUCGUAGUUGGAUCUCAGUUCGAGCCUGGUGGUCCGCCAAACGGUGGUUACUGCCGGGUUUCAACACGGCCGGUUUCUCUUGAUGAUCUUCGCCGGUUGUCUCGGGUGACCGGCACGUUUACUUUGAAAAAAUUAGAGUGCUCAAAGCAGGCGUGACGCCUGAAUAAUGUUGCAUGGAAUAAUGGAAUAGGACCUCUGUUCUAUUUUGUUGGUUUUCGGAAC